rfam:Delta proteobacterium MLMS-1 ctg840, whole genome shotgun sequence.
CGUCCUGCAUGGCAACAUGCAGGAUGAUCAGGCAGGAGUCAGCCGAGGCCAUAGUAGUUCCGGGCAACGGAACGAAGGGC